rnacentral:misc_RNA from 1 species
UGGCUCUCGCAUCGAUGAAGAACGCAGCGAAAUGCGAUAAGUAAUGUGAAUUGCAGAAUUCAGUGAAUCAUCGAAUCUUUGAACGCACCUUGCGCCUCUUGGUAUUCCGAGAGGCAUGCCUGUUUGAGUGUCAUGAAAUAUCAAUCCCCAAGGGUUUCUUGACCCGUGGUGGACUUGGACAUGGGCGUCUGCCUCACAAGGCUCGCCUCAAAUGACUUAGUGGGAACUUCUUGACCUACGCCUGACGUGAUAAGUUUCGUCUCGGCUGGUCUUGAGGCCUGCUCAGAACACCCCAUAUCUUUGACAUUGACCUCAAAUCAGGUAGGGCUACCCGCUGA